rnacentral:rRNA from 1 species
UACGGGGGGGGCAAGCGUUGUUCGGAAUUACUGGGCGUAAAGGGUCCGUAGGUGGCUUGCUAAGUCAGACGUGAAAUCCCUCGGCUUAACCGGGGAACUGCGUCUGAUACUGGAUGGCUUGAGUUUGGGAGAGGGAUGCGGAAUUCCAGGUGUAGCGGUGAAAUGCGUAGAUAUCUGGAGGAACACCGGUGGCGAAGGCGGCAUCCUGGACCAACACUGACACUGAGGAGCGAAAGCCAGGGGAGCAAACGGG